CCUACGGGUGGCAGUAGUGGGGAAUAUUGGACAAUGGGCGAAAGCCUGAUCCAGCCAUGCCGCGUGUGUGAAGAAGGCCUUCGGGUUGUAAAGCACUUUCAGUGGGGAAGAAAGCCUUGGGGCUAAUACCCUCGAGGAAGGACAUCACCCACAGAAGAAGCACCGGCUAACUCCGUGCCAGCAGCCGCGGUAAUACGGAGGGUGCGAGCGUUAAUCGGAAUUACUGGGCGUAAAGCGCGCGUAGGCGGUCUGAUAAGCCGGUUGUGAAAGCCCCGGGCUCAACCUGGGAACGGCAUCCGGAACUGUCAGGCUAGAGUGCAGGAGAGGAAGGUAGAAUUCCCGGUGUAGCGGUGAAAUGCGUAGAGAUCGGGAGGAAUACCAGUGGCGAAGGCGGCCUUCUGGACUGACACUGACGCUGAGGUGCGAAAGCGUGGGUAGCAAACAGGAUUAGAUACCCCAGUAGUC
rnacentral:rRNA from 1 species